GACAGAGGAGGCGAGCGUUGUUCGGAAUCACUGGGCUUAAAGGGGGUGUAGGCGGCCGCGUAAGUGUCGUGUGAAAUCCCAUGGCUCAACCAUGGAACUGCAUGGCAUACUGCGUGGCUUGAGUGCGGCAGAGGUGCCUGGAACUCUAGGUGGAGCGGUGAAAUGCGUAGAUAUCUAGAGGAACGCCAGAAGCGAAAGCGGGGCACUGGGCCGUUACUGACGCUGAGACCCGAAAGCGUGGGGAGCAAAC
rnacentral:rRNA from 1 species